rnacentral:lncRNA from 1 species
AAGCAAUGCUAGGGGGACAAACAUAGAUACACAAACAUACAUGCCCCCCCCCCCAUAUAUAUAUAUAUAUAUAUGACGGGCUUCUUUCAGUUUCCGUCUACCAAAUCCACUCACAAGGCUUUGGUUGGCCCGAGGCUAUAGUAGAAGACACUUGUUCAAGGUACCACGCAGUGGGACUGAACCCGGAACCAUGUGGUUGGUAAACAAGCUACUUACCACACAGCCACUCCAGUAAUUAUAACUUUAGUUCUUUCAUAUUUCACUGUAAUUAUGUCCUUAAAUUUCUUCUAUAGGAAAACUGGCAAUAAAUAUACGUUAUCAACAACAAUAAUACUGUUUAACUAUGAAUUAAUUACAGAUGUAACAUUACACGAUAUUUCCAACAGUGGCAAAAUGAUGUUCUCAACAGUACCUGUCACAUAACAGGUAACACUCCAGUUAGUAUAUAGUAACCAAAAGAGAAAAACUCUAAUAUCAGAAUUAUCUCUCUUUAGGGAAUGGACAAACACAGAAAGAUGGUGACACUGUCAAUUAUAUUAAAUAGAAUGCUUGCUUUAACCCAAUUAAAUAGCAUUUACCAGAGACCGUUCAGUAGAAAUCAUAUGAAACUGGACUACUCCAGACUGACCAUAAAUCUUUAUGUGUCUUAAUACUAUAAACCAUAUCGUACUUAUUUCUUCACCUAUCAGUCUCAAAACUCUGAUAAAGAAUACCAGAUGCAUCCUUCCCUUCUCCUCUGAUUAAGACACAAAGGUACAGUGGGACUAUAUUUCGACUGACAAUCCAAAAUAAUGUAUCACGUGACUAAAAUCCCAAAUAAGGUAGCAAUUAACUAUAUUGCUACUGAUAAUCCAAAAUAAUGUAUCAUGUGACUAAAAUCCCAAAUAAGGUAGCAAUUAACUAUAUUUCGACUGAUAAUCCAAAAUAAUGUAUCAUGUGACUAAAAUCCCAAAUAAGGUAGCAAUUAACUAUAUUGCUACUGAUAAUCCAAAAUAAUGUAUCAUGUGACUAAAAUCCCAAAUAAGGUAGCAAUUAACUAUAUUUCGACUGACAAUCCAAAAUAAUGUAUCACGUGGCUAUAAUCCCAAAUAAGGUAGCAAUUAACUAUAUUUCUACUGAUAAUCCAAAAUAAUGUAUCAUGUGACUAAAAUCCCAAAUAAGGUAGCAAUUAACUAUAUUUCUACUGAUAAUCCAAAAUAAUGUAUCACGUGGCUAUAAUCCCAAAUAAGGUAGCAAUUAACUAUAUUUCUACUGAUAAUCCAAAAUAAUGUAUCAUGUGACUAAAAUCCCAAAUAAGGUAGCAAUUAACUAUAUUGCUACUGACAAUCCAAAAUAAUGUAUCACGUGGCUAUAAUCCCAAAUAAGGUAGCAAUUAACUAUAUUUCUACUGAUAAUCCAAAAUAAUGUAUCAUGUGACUAAAAUCCCAAAUAAGGUAGCAAUUAACUAUAUUUCUACUGACAAUCCAAAAUAAUGUAUCACGUGACUAUAAUCCCAAAUAAGGUAGCAAUUGACUAUAUUUCUACUGACAAUCCAAAAUAAUGUAUCAUGUGACUAAAAUCCCAAAUAAGGUAGCAAUUAACUAUAUUUCUACUGACAAUCCAAAAUAAUGUAUCACGUGACUAUAAUCCCAAAUAAGGUAGCAAUUGACUAUAUUUCUACUGACAAUCCAAAAUAAUGUAUCAUGUGACUAAAAUCCCAAAUAAGGUAGCAAUUAACUAUAUUUCUACUGACAAUCCAAAAUAAUGUAUCACGUGACUAUAAUCCCAAAUAAGGUAGCAAUUGACUAUAUUUCUACUGACAAUCCAAAAUAAUGUAUCAUGUGACUAAAAUCCCAAAUAAGGUAGCAAUUAACUAUAUUUCUACUGACAAUCCAAAAUAAUGUAUCACGUGACUAUAAUCCCAAAUAAGGUAGCAAUUGACUAUAUUUCUACUGACAAUCCAAAAUAAUGUAUCAUGUGACUAAAAUCCCAAAUAAGGUAGCAAUUAACUAUAUUUCUACUGACAAUCCAAAAUAAUGUAUCACGUGACUAUAAUCCCAAAUAAGGUAGCAAUUGACUAUAUUUCUACUGACAAUCCAAAAUAAUGUAUCACGUGACUAUAAUCCCAAAUAAGGUAGCAAUUGACUAUAUUUCUACUGACAAUCCAAAAUAAUGUACCAUGUGUCUAUAAUCCCAAAUAAGGUAGCAAUUAACUAUAUUUCGACUGACAAUCCAAAAUAAUGUAUCAUGUGACUAAAAUCCCAAAUAAGGUAGCAAUUAACUAUAUUUCUACUGACAAUCCAAAAUAAUGUAUCACGUGACUAAAAUCCCAAAUAAGGUAGCAAUUAACUAUAUUGCUACUGACAAUCCAAAAUAAUGUAUCACGUGACUAAAAUCCCAAAUAAGGUAGCAAUUAACUAUAUUUCUACUGACAAUCCAAAAUAAUGUAUCACGUGACUAAAAUCCCAAAUAAGGUAGCAAUUAACUAUAUUGCUACUGACAAUCCAAAAUAAUGUAUCAUGUGACUAAAAUCCCAAAUAAGGUAGCAAUUAACUAUAUUUCUACUGACAAUCCAAAAUAAUGUAUCACGUGACUAAAAUCCCAAAUAAGGUAGCAAUUGACUAUAUUUCGACUGACAAUCCAAAAUAAUGUAUCACGUGACUAAAAUCCCAAAUAAGGUAGCAAUUGACUAUAUUUCGACUGAUAAUCCAAAAUAAUGUAUCACGUGGCUAUAAUCCCAAAUUAGGUAGCAAUUAACUAUAUUGCUACUGACAAUCCAAAAUAAUGUAUCACGUGGCUAUAAUCCCAAAGAAGGUAGCAAUUAACUAUAUUGCUACUGAUAAUCCAAAAUAAUGUAUCACGUGACUAAAAUCCCAAAUUAGGUAGCAAUUGACUAUAUUUCUACUGAUAAUCCCAAAUGAGAUGCAGUUUGUAUUACUGCUGUUAAUCCCUAAUAAAGGUAAAAAGACUAGAGUUAUCUCCCUCUAGAUUAGUUACUAGCUUGUGUUAUAUGAUGCUUAGAUUUUUUUUUAAUGUUCCAAGUUUUAUGAAUGUUACCACUAACAUGACCAGAUAUCCAAUGACUACAUAUAUUACACACAUGAUUACAUUCAUUAUCAUCAUCACUUAAGAUCCAUUUUCCAAACUGACAAGGUAUAGAAGUAGUUGGGAGAGAGAGAAAGAGAGAGAGGCAUAAAAGUACAUAAGAGUGACUAUAGUGAGCAGACAUGGUAGCAAAUAUAGGGGGGGGGUUCUGAUACACACACACACACAUAAGGCCAAUAAGACUACAAACAUCCAACGUGACUAUAUUUCAAAUAUGACUGGGUAUAUAUAUCCAACACACACACAUUUAUAUAAAUACACACAUAUAUAAGCCCAAUAAGACUACAUACAUCCAACAUGACUAUAUUUCAAAUACGACUAAGUAUAUAUCCAAGACACACACACUGAUAUAACUACACACACACACACACAUGCAUAUAUAAGCCCAAUAAAACUACAUUUAUCUAACAUGACUAAGUAUAUAUGUAUAUCCAACACAAGUAUAUGUAAACAUGGUCACACACAUAUAAGUCCAAUAAGACAACUGUGUGGCACCUUGGGCAAGUGUCUUCUACUAUAGCCUCGGGCCGAC